rnacentral:lncRNA from 1 species
UAAUAGCUGUGGAUUUUGCUUGGUGUGGCGGUUUUUCUGGUGCCAUGUCUGAAUGUGUUGGAAUCCAAAUUGUGACUACUGCAUUUCCUUGUUGUUGUAAGUAUUGAACCCGUUUAUAUAUCCGCUGGAUUGAUUCUUGGCCUGAUUGUUGACGGGGUUGGCUGAUAGCAGACAGUGCUGAUCGAUUGCUACUGAGGAUAAAUAUGCAUCUCUGAUAUGUCUGCCAUGGGAUGCGUUCCAGGGAGGUUGCUAUUGCUUCCAGCUCUGCCGUGUACGGAUUGUGUUCUGUUCUUUUGCCCAAGAGGGUCGAGUAACUAGAUAUAUCGUUCCCACUUGCUCGGGUGUCUCUCGUGCAGCCUCCUAUGCCCACCUUAUCUGAUUUAAUGGAUGUGCUUGUAGCAAUUAGAAUGCCUACUGCUUUGUUGGCAUUGCUAAUGGCUUUAUCUUCGUCUGUUUCACAGAUUGAUGGUAUCCGGUUGGUCCACAGUGACACUGUGAAUGCCUGGAUAGUCUCAAUCCUUUCCUCUGUCAUUGCCUCGAGUGGAUGAAUGAUCCUCUGUAGCGGAGAUCGGAACCUCUGGGUAGCGACGGUUCUCAAUCUGGCCAGUGGAUUUGACUUAGGUAGAGUCUGGAUAUCAACCCAUAGUUUUGUGACUUUCUCCGCGUGUCGAAUAUAAAAUGGUUGAAUAUCUGCUUCUGCCUCAGCCACUGCUGUUGCCACUGUCCGGAAGGAACCCGUAACUGCAAUCGCUCCAUGUUUCUGCAUUCUAUUCAGGUACCGUGUCCCUUUUACUCUGCAGGCAUGCAUCCAGACGUUCGAGGCAUAGUCUGCCACCGGUGCCACUGUUGCUUUGAAUAGUUGUCUCGCGGUCUGAGGGGUUACCAUUUUCAGUCGUCUCAGCGCCAUGGCUGCUGCUAAUCCUUUUGUAGCGGCAUUGGCAAUGUGCUUCUCAAAGCGUAGUUGUGAAUCCAUCACUACUCCUAGGAUCUUCGCUCUAUCUUUCGGCUUGACUGUUUCACCUUUAAUGGUGAAUGGUAUACUGCUUGAACGACUCGCGG